UAGCUAGUUGGUGAGGUAAAGGCUUACCAAGGCGACGAUCUGUAGCGGGUCUGAGAGGAUGAUCCGCCACACUGGAACUGAGACACGGUCCAGACUCCUACGGGAGGCAGCAGUGGGGAAUUUUGGACAAUGGGGGCAACCCUGAUCCAGCCAUGCCGCGUGAGUGAAGAAGGCCUUCGGGUUGUAAAGCUCUUUCGGCCGGGAAGAAAUCGCAUGGGCCAAUACCCUGUGUGGAUGACGGUACCGGAAUAAGAAGCACCGGCUAACUACGUGCCAGCAGCCGCGGUAAUACGUAGGGUGCUAGCGUUAAUCGGAAUUACUGGGCGUAAAGCGUGCGCAGGCGGUUUUGUAAGACAGGCGUGAAAUCCCCGGGCUUAACCUGGGAACUGCGUUUGUGACUGCAAGGCUAGAGUACGGCAGAGGGGGGUGGACUUCCACGUGUAGCAGUGAAAUGCGUAGAGAUGUGGAGGAACACCAAUGGCGAAGGCAGCCCCCUGGGUCGAUACUGACGCUCAUGCACGAAAGCGUGGGUAGCAAACAGGAUUAGAUACCCUGGUAGUCCACGCCCUAAACUAUGUCAACUAGGUGUUGGGUGGGUAAAACCAUUUAGUACCGUAGCUAACGCGUGAAGUUGGCCGCCUGGGGAGUACGGCCGCAAGGUUAAAACUCAAAGGAAUUGACGGGGACCCGCACAAGCGGUGGAUGAUGUGGAUUAAUUCGAUGCAACGCGAAAAACCUUACCUACCCUUGACAUGCCAGGAACUUGCCAGAGAUGGCUUGGUGCCCGAAAGGGAGCCUGACACAGGUGCUGCAUGGCUGUCGUCAGCUCGUGUCGUGAGAUGUUGGGUUAAGUCCCGCAACGAGCGCAACCCUUGUCGUUAAUUGCCAUCAUUUAGUUGGGCACUUUAACGAGACUGCCGGUGACAAACCGGAGGAAGGUGGGGAUGACGUCAAGUCCUCAUGGCCCUUAUGGGUAGGGCUUCACACGUCAUACAAUGGUCGAUACAAAGGGUUGCCAAGCCGCGAGGCGGAGCCAAUCCCAGAAAGCCGAUCGUAGUCCGGAUUGCAGGCUGCAACUCGCCUGCAUGAAGUCGGAAUCGCUAGUAAUCGUGGAUCAGCAUGUCACGGUGAAUACGUUCCCGGGUCUUGUACACACCGCCCGUCACACCAUGGGAGCGGGUUCCGCCAGAAGUAGGUAGCCUAACCGCAAGGGGGGCGCUUACCACGGCGGGGUUCGUGACUGGGGUGAAGUCGUAACAAGGUAGCCGUAGGGGAACCUGCGGCUG
rnacentral:rRNA from 1 species